UGAAUACGAGAUGCUACGGCGUCGAAGCAGUGUAUGUCAGACUUCCAAGAAAAGCUCGCAAUGUCAUAAAUAAAGAAUGCCUGUACCAUAACCGACACAGGUGGGUAGGUAGAGUAUACUAAGGGGCGCGAGAUAACUCUCUCUAAGGAACUCGGCAAAAUAACUCCGUAACUUCGGGAGAAGGAGUGCCUUCUUUAAGAAGGUUGCAAUAACAAGAUCCAAGCAACUGUUUAUCAAAAACACAGGUCUCCGCUAAGUCGUAAGACGAUGUAUGGGGGCUGACGCCUGCCCAGUGCCAGAAGGUUAAAGAAGUUGGUUAGCUUUUGCGAAGCUGAUGACUGAAGCCCUGGUGAACGGCGGCCGUAACAAUAACGGUCCUAAGGUAGCGAAAUUCCUUGUCGGGUAAGUUCCGACCCGCACAAAAGGCGUAAUGAUUUGGAUACUGUCUCGGAGAGGGACUCGGUGAAAUAGACUUGUCUGUGAAGAUGCGGACUACCUGCACCAGGACAGAAAGACCCUAUGAAGCUUUACUGUAACUUGAAAUUGAAAUUGGACUUUAUUUGCGCAGUAUAGGUGGAAGGCGUUGAAAGUAAUCUUGCGGGAUUAGUGGAGCCAUCAGUGAGAUACCACUCCUAUAAUGUUAGAUUUCUAACUUUGGAUCAUGAUCUGGUCAAAGAACAGUUUCAGGCGGGCAGUUUGACUGGGGCGGUCGCCUCCCAAAUGGUAACGGAGGCGUACAAAGGUUUCCUCUGAACGGGUAGAAAUCGUAUCUAGAGUGUAAAGGCAUAAGGAAGCUUGACUGUGAGACCUACAAGUCGAGCAGGGACGAAAGUCGGUCUUAGUGAUCUGACGGUGCUGAGUGGAAAGGCCGUCACUCAACGGAUAAAAGUUACUCUAGGAUAACAGGCUGAUCUCCCCCAAGAGUUCACAUCGACGGGGAGGUUUGGCACCUCGAUGUCGGCUCAUCGCAUCCUGGGGCGGUAGUACGUCCCAAGGGUUGGGCUGUUCGCCCAUGAAAGCGGUACGCGAGCUGGGUUCAGAACGUCGUGAGACAGUUCGGUCCAUAUCCGGUGUAGGCGUUAGAAUAUUGAGAGGAGCCUUCUUUAGUACGAGAGGACCGAGAAGGACAUACCUCUGGUGUACCAGUUAUCGUGCCAACGGUAAACGCUGGGUAGCUAUGUAUGGAGAGGAUAACCGCUGAAAGCAUCUAAGUGGGAAGCCCACCUCAAGAUGAG
rnacentral:rRNA from 1 species